UACGUAGGGGGCAAGCGUUGUCCGGAAUCAUUGGGCGUAAAGCGCGCGUAGGCGGCCCGGUAAGUCCGUUGUAAAAGUCAAAGGCUCAACCUUUGAAAGCCGAUGGAUACUGCCGGGCUAGAAUCCGGAAGAGGCGAGUGGAAUUCCUGGUGUAGCGGUGGAAUGCGCAGAUAUCAGGAGGAACACCAACAGCGAAGGCAGCUCGCUGGGACGGUAUUGACGCUGAGGAGCGAAAGCGUGGGGAGCGAACAGG
rnacentral:rRNA from 1 species